GAUGAACGCUGGCGGCGUGCUUAACACAUGCAAGUCGAACGAAGCAUUUAGGACAGAUUACUUCGGUUUGAAGUUCUUUAUGACUGAGUGGCGGACGGGUGAGUAACGCGUGGGUAACCUGCCUUGUACUGGGGGAUAGCAGCUGGAAACGGCUGGUAAUACCGCAUAAGCGCACAAUGUUGCAUGACAUGGUGUGAAAAACUCCGGUGGUAUAAGAUGGACCCGCGUCUGAUUAGCUAGUUGGUGAGAUAACAGCCCACCAAGGCGACGAUCAGUAGCCGACCUGAGAGGGUGACCGGCCACAUUGGGACUGAGACACGGCCCAGACUCCUACGGGAGGCAGCAGUGGGGAAUAUUGCACAAUGGAGGAAACUCUGAUGCAGCGACGCCGCGUGAGUGAAGAAGUAAUUCGUUAUGUAAAGCUCUAUCAGCAGGGAAGAUAGUGACGGUACCCGACUAAGAAGCUCCGGCUAAAUACGU
rnacentral:rRNA from 1 species